rnacentral:rRNA from 1 species
GACGAACGCUGGCGGCGUGCUUAACACAUGCAAGUCGAACGAAGAGCGAUGGAAGCUUGCUUCUCUCAAUCUUAGUGGCGAACGGGUGAGUAACGCGUAAUCAACCUGCCCUUCAGAGGGGGACAACAGUUGGAAACGACUGCUAAUACCGCAUACGAUCUAAUCUCGGCAUCGAGGAUAGAUGAAAGGUGGCCUCUACAUGUAAGCUAUCACUGAAGGAGGGGAUUGCGUCUGAUUAGCUAGUUGGGGGGGUAACGGCCCACCAAGGCGAUGAUCAGUAGCCGGUCUGAGAGGAUGAACGGCCACAUUGGGACUGAGACACGGCCCAGACUCCUACGGGAGGCAGCAGUGGGGAAUCUUCCGCAAUGGACGAAAGUCUGACGGAGCAACGCCGUGUGAGCGAUGACGGCCUUCGGGUUGUAAAGCUCUGUUAAUCGGGACGAAAGGCCUUCUUGCGAAUAGGGAGAAGGAUUGACGGUACCGUAAUAGAAAGCCACGGCUAACUACGUG